CUGGCUCAGGAUGAACGCUAGCGGCAGGCUUAACACAUGCAAGUCGAGGGGCAACGCGAGUAGCAUACUUGGUGGCGACCGGCGCAAGGGUGCGUAACGCGUGAGCAACAUGCCCGUAUCAGGGGGAUAAUCCAGGGAAACUUGGUCUAAUACCCCAUAGUAAUUUUGUAAGGCAUCUUAUAAGAUUUUAAAGCUUUGGUGGAUACGGAUUGGCUCGCGUGACAUUAGCUGGAUGGUAAGGUAACGGCUUACCAUGGCUAUGAUGUCUAGGGGUUCUGAGAGGAAGGUCCCCCACACUGGAACUGAGACACGGUCCAGACUCCUACGGGAGGCAGCAGUGAGGAAUAUUGGACAAUGGAUGGAAAUCUGAUCCAGCCAUGCCGCCGUGAAGGAAGAAGGUCCUAUGGAUUGUAAACUUCUUUUGUAUGGGAGCAAUAAGGCCUACGAGUAGGUUGAUGAGAGUACCAUACGAAUAAGCACCGGCUAACUCCGUGCCAGCCGCCGC
rnacentral:rRNA from 1 species